GCCUGGGUGGCUCAGUCAGUUGAGCGUCUGACUUCGGCUCAGGUCAUGAUCUCACGGUUCAUGAGUUCAAGUCCCGCCUCGGGCU
rnacentral:tRNA from 1 species